rnacentral:rRNA from 2 species
CGGCGUGCUAUACAUGCAAGUCGAGCGGAUCUUCAUUAGCUUGCUUUUGAAGAUCAGCGGCGGACGGGUGAGUAACACGUGGGCAACCUGCCUGUAAGACUGGGAUAACUUCGGGAAACCGGAGCUAAUACCGGAUAAUCCUUUCCCUCACAUGAGGGAAAGCUGAAAGACGGUUUCGGCUGUCACUUACAGAUGGGCCCGCGGCGCAUUAGCUAGUUGGUGAGGUAAUGGCUCACCAAGGCGACGAUGCGUAGCCGACCUGAGAGGGUGAUCGGCCACACUGGGACUGAGACACGGCCCAGACUCCUACGGGAGGCAGCAGUAGGGAAUCUUCCGCAAUGGACGAAAGUCUGACGGAGCAACGCCGCGUGAGCGAUGAAGGCCUUCGGGUCGUAAAGCUCUGUUGUCAGGGAAGAACAAGUAUCGGAGUAACUGCCGGUACCUUGACGGUACCUGACCAGAAAGCCACGGCUAACUACGUGCCAGCAGCCGCGGUAAUACGUAGGUGGCAAGCGUUGUCCGGAAUUAUUGGGCGUAAAGCGCGCGCAGGCGGUUCCUUAAGUCUGAUGUGAAAGCCCCCGGCUCAACCGGGGAGGGUCAUUGGAAACUGGGGAACUUGAGUGCAGAAGAGGAGAGCGGAAUUCCACGUGUAGCGGUGAAAUGCGUAGAGAUGUGGAGGAACACCAGUGGCGAAGGCGGCUCUCUGGUCUGUAACUGACGCUGAGGCGCGAAAGCGUGGGGAGCGAACAGGAUUAGAUACCCUGGUAGUCCACGCCGUAAACGAUGAGUGCUAAGUGUUAGAGGGUUUCCGCCCUUUAGUGCUGCAGCAAACGCAUUAAGCACUCCGCCUGGGGAGUACGGCCGCAAGGCUGAAACUCAAGGAAUUGACGGGGGCCCGCACAAGCGGUGGAGCAUGUGGUUUAAUUCGAAGCAACGCGGAAGAACCCUUACCAGGUCUUGACAUCCUCUGACAACUCUAG